rnacentral:rRNA from 1 species
UAAAAUUGAUGGUCCUAUACACCGACCAUCCGCCUGGGAAUUACGAGCAACAGCUUAAAACCCAAAGGAUUUGGCGGUGCUUUAAACCCCCCUAGAGGAGCCUGUUCUGUAACUGAUAACCCCCGUUAAACCUCACCAUCCCUUGUUUAAUCCGCCUAUAUACCACCGUCGUAAGCUUACCCUGUGAAGGAGUAACAGUUAGCGCAGAUGGCAAAGCCAAGAACGUCAGGUCGAGGUGUAGCGAAUGAGAUGGGAAGAAAUGGGCUACAUUCUCUGCUUUAGAGAACUAACGAAUGGUCAAUUUGAAAAGACUUACCUGAAGGAGGAUUUAGUAGUAAGUAGAGAAACGAGUG